AAAAGAAAAGAAAGGAAGUGAGACGGAAGGAGGGUCGAGAAGGACAAAGAGAGUGGGAGGGAGGGAGGAAGGAAGGGAAUCUUAUGUUCUAGAUUUUUAUCUACCAGGAGAUUCCAAGAUGGCAGAAUAGGGAAUGGUAUACUGCACUAGGCUAGGGAUAAAUAGAGGGAAAAAGAGUACAAGAAGUGCACUCUUCAGGGAGAAUGAGAGAGAAAACUAUACUGGAAAGUCUACAAAAGGAAAAGGAAGACCAUGGGCCUUUGUGGAAGGUGCAGAUGUGAAGAACAAACACGGACAUAAAACACAACUGCAGCAGCCAAGUGCAGGGAUUGGAUGGCAGCUUGGAGGUGGAGGUCUUGGAGGAACAUGGAACAGAAGAGGAAGAAAGUAAAGCACCCACAGACCAAGACAGCAAUAUUCUGAUGCAUACACUUCAAUAUACAUUGAAAAACAUCAAUAAAUCCAUGAAGCACAUAAGCUGAACA
rnacentral:lncRNA from 1 species